rnacentral:rRNA from 1 species
AACAGGAUUAGAUACCCUGGUAGUCCACGCUGUAAACGAUGUCGAUUUGGAGGUUGUGCCCUUGAGGCGUGGCUUCCGGAGCUAACGCGUUAAAUCGACCGCCUGGGGAGUACGGCCGCAAGGUUAAAACUCAAAUGAAUUGUCGGGGGCCCGCACAAGCGGUGGAGCAUGUGGUUUAAUUCGAUGCAACGCGAAGAACCUUACCUACUCUUGACAUCCAGAGAACUUUCCAGAGAUGGAUUGGUGCCUUCGGGAACUCUGAGACAGGUGCUGCAUGGCUGUCGUCAGCUCGUGUUGUGAAAUGUUGGGUUAAGUCCCGCAACGAGCGCAACCCUUAUCCUUUGUUGCCAGCGGUUCGGCCGGGAACUCAAAGGAGACUGCCAGUGAUAAACUGGAGGAAGGUGGGGAUGACGUCAAGUCAUCAUGGCCCUUACGAGUAGGGCUACACACGUGCUACAAUGGCGUAUACAAAGAGAAGCGACCUCGCGAGAGCAAGCGGACCUCAUAAAGUACGUCGUAGUCCGGAUUGGAGUCUGCAACUCGACUCCAUGAAGUCGGAAUCGCUAGUAAUCGUAGAUCAGAAUGCUACGGUGAAUACGUUCCCGGGCCUUGUACACACCGCCCGUCACACCAUGGGAGUGGGUUGCAAAAGAAGUAGGUAGCUUAACCUUCGGGAGGGCGCUUACCACUUUGUGAUUCAUGACUGGGGUGAAGUCGUAACAAGGUAACCGUAGGGGAACCUGCGGCUGGAUCACCUCCUU